AACGCACAUUGCGCCCUUUGGUAUUCCGAAGGGCAUGCCUGUUCGAGCGUCAUGUAUAGACUCAAGCCUAGCUUGGUGUUGGGCGUUUGUCCCCCCGGGGACUCGCCUCGAAUGCAUUGGCAGCCCGGUUACCGGCCUCGAGCGCAGCACAAGCGCGACUCGAGCGGGAGCCGCGGCCCCCAGCAAGCCCAUCAUCCACUUUGACCUCGGAUCAGGUAGGGAUACCCGCUGAACUUAA
rnacentral:misc_RNA from 1 species